CCGUAACUGGGUCCUCGUGGUGUGACUGAUUCAUUUUCAGUCUACCCAGACUGUCCUGGUUUUAAAAUGGAAAAUCCUACAACCUGGGAAUCCCCUUAGUUCACUGCAAACCAACAAUUGGUCAUCUUUGCUCUCCUCACAAAGAGUAAGAUGCAAGGCCAAAUUUUGGCUUGAAUGCUGUUCCAGGUUCUCCACAGUUGGUGAAAAAUCAUUGAAUGAGAAAAUGUGCAGGAUGAAAGGGAUAUUAGUAACUACCUGAUCCAGUAGUUCUCAAACUUCAGUGUGUAUCAGAACCCCCUGGGCUGCUUAUUGAAAAUGUAAAUGUCUGGGUUCUAUUGCAAAAAUCUGAUUCCAUCCAUAUGUCUUAGGUAGGGUCCCAAAUUCUGCAAUUUUAUAAGCACCUUAGAUGACUCUGAUUAUACAUGGUCCAAGGACCUAUGUUUGGAAAGCAGGGAUUUAAUUACAGCUCAUUUUAUGGAUAAGAAGUCUAUGUUGCCUGAAGCCACACAAUACGCAACUGCAACCUGGUCUAAAAUAAAGCCUCAAAUAUGCACUCC
rnacentral:lncRNA from 10 species